GCGGCUGUAGCUCAGCUGGAUAGAGUACUCGGCUACGAACCGAGCGGUCGGAGGUUCGAAUCCUCCCAGCCGCG
rfam:Marinobacter antarcticus strain CGMCC 1.10835 genome assembly, contig: Ga0079884_102